UUCAUUAAAAGGGGCUACAAUAUAAUAUUUGUAAUAGUGACACUUUUUAAUGAAAU
rnacentral:pre_miRNA from 1 species